rnacentral:tRNA from 1 species
GGAGUAGCUCAGUUGGUAGAGCACCGGUCUCCAAAACCGGGUGUCGGGAGUUCGAGUCUCUCCUCC